rnacentral:rRNA from 1 species
UACGUAGGGGGCAAGCGUUGUCCGGAAUUACUGGGCGUAAAGCGCGUGUAGGCGGGACGGCAAGUCGGACGUGAAAGGCUGGGGCUCAACCCCAGAUCGCCGUUCGAAACUGCCGUUCUUGAGGGUCGAAGAGGAGAGUGGAAUUCCUGGUGUAACGGUGAAAGUGCGUAGAGAUCAGGAGGAACACCCGUGGCGAAGGCGGCUCUCUGGUCGACAUCUGACGCUGAGACGCGAAAGCGUGGGGAGCGAACGGG